rnacentral:rRNA from 1 species
GACGAACGCUGGCGGCGUGCUUAACACAUGCAAGUCGAACGGAAAGGCCUCUUUCGGGGGGUACUCGAGUGGCGAACGGGUGAGUAACACGUGAGUAACCUGCCCUUGACUUUGGGAUAACUUCAGGAAACUGGGGCUAAUACCGGAUAGGAGCUCCUGCUGCAUGGUGGGGGUUGGAAAGUUUCGGCGGUUGGGGAUGGACUCGCGGCUUAUCAGCUUGUUGGUGGGGUAGUGGCUUACCAAGGCUUUGACGGGUAGCCGGCCUGAGAGGGUGACCGGCAAAUUGGGGAAUGAGAGACGCCCAAGACUCCUGGGGGGGGAAGGAGGGGGAAUUAUGGAAAAAGGGGGGGAGGCCUGUGCCAGCACGGCGGGGGGGGGGGUGCGGGCCUUGGGGUUGUAACCCCUUUCCGCCAGGGAGAAAGUUUGGUGGGGGGUGGGGGGAAAAAGAAGAACCGGCAAACUAGGGC